AGAAUGUGCUCAAUGUUAAAAAAGCCAAAACAGUAAAGAAGUUACAAUUUAGAAAAUUUCAGAAAGCCCCUUGAUAGCUGCAUAUUACUUUUACCGGCUCGGGCCCAGGCGCGCGGCAGUCCCAGGCAGCUCCGGCGUGGCAACCCCCAGACAGUUCACGCGGCAAAGAAUCACGCUGGUCAACCUCAGGGACCUCAUAUUUUGUUUAGAAAAUGAGCGCGAGACAAGCCAUUCACUGUUGCUCUACAAAGCAUUCCUUAAGUGACACAGGAGGGAGCACGGUGUUUUUGACGAGACGCCUGGGGACAUUUUUAUAUAUUUGCAGAUUACGCCUUUUUGUAAGAAGCAAAUGGGAUAUUGUUUAAAAACAGCCACUUCUUUACAAUGGAACAGUUUUAUAUUCCCGUUUCUAAAUCAGCUCAGUGUGGAAGAAAACCUGUUUCUGCAGCAGAGAGAAUACAGAGGCCUGUGGAUACUCCUAAAGGACAACUAAACCCGAGCUCAUCCUUGAUUGAGUGGCCUUCUUGCCAAACAAGCCAUAUAUAAAGACUGAUGGAAUCGCUUAGCAAAUAACUCGCUGCGCUCUGUCACCGUGUAGCAGUUUCUACCUUAUUUGUGCGUUUUGGUUUAGUUGAGCCUAACUUACUGCGUAGGUGUGUGUCUGCAGCCGAUGACCUCCUUUCACUUAUUUUAUUUUUGUAAUAGUCAGUUGGCAAAGCAAACUGAUUUUUAGACUAUUUAUCUCCCUUCCUUCCCCUCCCCUCCCCUCAAAACUCUCCAGGAACACACAGUUCAUUGCAGCUCCGUCACCUUGGAGGGUGACCGCAUUUCUGCUCGGUGGAGGCUGGGAGUCCAGCCGGGGCGGGCUCCUCUGAAUGUGCUCAGCAUCUGUACAAAUGCAUUUUGUUUGCUACAGUUUGUGAAGCUGUAAAGUUAAGAGAAAUGAGAACCUUUUCAGCAUAAAUAUAUUUUACUUGCACUGUGUUUUUUAGCUACAAGUGAAAACUUAGAUUAAAUAAAAUCAGAGUUGAGAAGAAUCAUCAAGAGACUGUUUCUCAGUGUGAAUCAAGUGUUGAAAAAUGGUUGGUGUAUUUUGUCAGUAAUUGUACAUAACUUUUGGCACAUAACAUAAAAUGGCUAUGUAAACUAUAAUUAUUUUGCUAAGAGACUGUAUGCAAGCUGUGGGCCGACUUUACAGACGCCCAGAGCAAAGCCCCUUCUUUGUACCUAUUUUUUUAUUACAAAUAUACUAAUUGGUUCUUUAUAUUUUCAGAGGUUAUUGUAUUAAAUUGUCUAUUGAUAGUACUUUUAUGAUUGUAAAUACUUGGCUUUCUCCGUGUGAAUUCUCACAUUAGACUUUAAUUCGCGCGUGUGAACUGAACACUGAUCAGUAUUUUUUAUCAACACCUGAGAACUGUUACACCUUUUAUUUUAUCUUUUAGAAAAUCCCUG
rnacentral:lncRNA from 1 species